rnacentral:rRNA from 1 species
AACGAACGCUGGCGGCAUGCCUAACACAUGCAAGUCGAACGAGACCUUCGGGUCUAGUGGCGCACGGGCGCGUGACGCGUGGGAACCUGCCUUUAGGUUCGGAAUAACUCAGAGAAAUUUGAGCUAAUACCGGAUGAUGUCUUCGGACCAAAGAUUUAUCGCCUUUAGAUGGGCCCGCGUUGGAUUAGCUAGUUGGUGGGGUAAAGGCCUACCAAGGCGACGAUCCAUAGCUGGUCUGAGAGGAUGAUCAGCCACACUGGGACUGAGACACGGCCCAGACUCCUACGGGAGGCAGCAGUGGGGAAUAUUGGACAAUGGGCGAAAGCCUGAUCCAGCAAUGCCGCGUGAGUGAUGAAGGCCUUAGGGUUGUAAAGCUCUUUUACCCGAGAUGAUAAUGACAGUAUCGGGAGAAUAAGCUCCGGCUAACUCCGUG